GGUGUCUGGAAACCCCCAGAAAAACAACCUUGAAAUUCCUAAGAAAACAAUAUGUGAAGAAAAAUGGACUUUACACUAGAUUUGACUUAAAAGGGGUCUGAUGAUAAAAGGAUCUCCAGUUCCACUAAGAAACACUCUUUUCAGUCUUGUCAAGCUUUCACUUGGAGAAAUGUUCCCAGUGCCUUCCAUAGACUCCCUAUGACUCGAGUGUUUGCUUGCCAUGGGUAUCCACUGGUUGCCUUGUCUACCCCAUGAACAAACCAUCAGAUUUCCAGUAUCUCCCUGCGGAAGAACCGUGGAUAAGCACCCCUACUGCAAAUGAACUGUUGGAGAACUGUAUUAUAGCAAAGUGUCAAGGUGCAGCGCUCUCAAAUGGACAAAGACUGUUCUUAAAGUGUUCAGAGGCCACCUAGAGACAGUUGUGCUGUUGCUAUGUCAUGCUUUACUGUGCAAAAGGAACUGUUGGACAUAUUGGGGGGUGCUAGCAAUGCAGGUGGAGAAAUAAACAAUGCAGCGUUGUUUGGGGGUAGAUGGGAGGCUGGUUGGGUCUCUGUGCCGGUAGACCGGUAGUCUUGGGAAGGCUGGAAGAUAGAUGGAGGGUAUUGGAGGGGAUGUACCUA